AUUGAACGCUGGCGGCAUGCCUUACACAUGCAAGUCGAACGGUAACGCGGGGCAACCUGGCGACGAGUGGCGAGCGGGUGAGUAAUGCAUCGGAACGUGCCCAGUUGUGGGGGAUAACUGCUCGAAAGAGCAGCUAAUACCGCAUACGACCUGAGGGUGAAAGCGGGGGAUCGCAAGACCUCGCGCAAUUGGAGCGGCCGAUGUCGGAUUAGCUAGUUGGUGGGGUAAAGGCCCACCAAGGCGACGAUCCGUAGCUGGUCUGAGAGGACGACCAGCCACACUGGGACUGAGACACGGCCCAGACUCCUACGGGAGGCAGCAGUGGGGAAUUUUGGACAAUGGACGCAAGUCUGAUCCAGCCAUGCCGCGUGCGGGAAGAAGGCCUUCGGGUUGUAAACCGCUUUUGUCAGGGAAGAAAUCUUCUGGGUUAAUACCUCGGGAGGAUGACGGUACCUGAAGAAUAAGCACCGGCUAACUACGUGCCAGCCGCCGCCGUAAGAC
rnacentral:rRNA from 1 species